UGGUCAUUACCAAGGCCGCAAGGAUAUUCCUGUUCCUGGUGAGCUGUGGACAUGACCAUAAAGCAAGUCCAUCAGACUCUUGAAUUGCUGCUUUGUGUGGCAGUAGGUCUGCUGGAAAUAAAG
rnacentral:snoRNA from 12 species